GCUCUAACGCUCUUGGAAAGUCUGGACUCCUUCACAGGGCCCAGCGGUCCCAAAAACAGGCACAAUUUGUAUUUAAAUAGACUUUUUAUAUUAUUCUCUUAGAUGCAUUAUAGAUAACAUAAAGCUGAAGAUAUGGGCAUGGUUUGUCUGUAUCACAUAGAUUACUUUGGAAACCACAGUUGUUCUAAAGGGAGUGUCUAUGGAUGAAUCUUCUCCUAAAUCGUGACUGUCACAGUUGUUCUCCCUUCGAAGUGCCCUCCGAAGGCAUUAUUUAUGACGUUUGGAACACAGGAUUGGCUUCAUUUUCGCGUAGAAAAGGAUGCAUUCUGUCUCGAUGUGGGUUCAGUAGAUCAUCAUCAUUAGUAGCUGCAGCAUCUUCAUCAUCAUCUGCACCAGCAUGACCCCCUCUUCCUCCUCAGGAAGUUGAACAAAUUUCCAUGACUGCAAUGUUGUGACUGGAUUUUUGAGGAGUUUUGGAGAAAGUCAGCGUGGUGUUCAUAAGCUGUAACAGCAAAGGUGUUACUGCUUUCACAGCCUUGCUGACCUAAGAAUUGCUGAGCCACAGGCCAUCACCAACCAUCUCGAUAAAACUUCCAACAGCACAAUAAUGCAGUGUAGCUAAGAACUGCACUGCUGAACUUAAGGCGUAGUUUCUUCUUGUGACCCUUUGAAGGUGUAGUUUCACAACCUGCAGCAAUUCAAGGAUCUUGGUCCUUGGAAUCCAGAAUGUUCUUAUGAUGUCGUCAUCAGACAGAGAGACAAGUGGGGAGAAAUUUGUCCUUAUGAAGGCAUUUACGUAUAUACACUACCUGACUUCUGUGUUGCCUUCUGUGCUCAAGCUGUAGGAUUCUUUGUAAAGCCACCAUUUUUUUGUUUUGUUUUUUGGUUCCUGGGUAGUGUUAUUUCCCAAUUGCUUAUGCCUCAAAAGUAUAGAAAAUGGCUAUUAUUCCCCACAAACGUUGCUUUUGUGAUCAGGACAGUGAUAUUUUGAAAUUUACCUAUUUCCAAUGAGAAAACAGGUGAAUGUGUCUUUUUGUUCACAUAAAGUCAGAAAAAAACAACACAUGAAUCCAAAUGAUCAUGUAAUUAUACUAAAGUACUACAAAAAUGACUACAAAAAUUUAGAAGUGAGUCGUUUUUCGAGAUAUACAAUUAUACUGUAAAUCACUUUCACGAAUCAGCCCCCAAAUGUAGUCUCCCCUCAUGUUCUCGUUAUACUGUCCUUGGUAGGGGCGUUCAAAGUCCAGUAUAUCCUGAUGGAAUCACUUGCCUUGGUCCUCCGAGUACACUCCCAUGUUCUCCUUGAAUUUAUCAAGACGAGCAUCAUGUUAAACUACUGGAUGAAUUCCCAGUGUAUUAGAAAAGCACUAACUCAAAACACAUGUUAAAAAAUGACAGGGUAUUUUUGGUCAUCAAAUGGGAUAUUAUAUUUUGUAUUUAAAUUCAGAUUGUGAAGGGUUUUAACUUCUGUGUCACUGAAAAGCAACUUGAAAAUCGUAUGUUUGUUGCCAUGCAGCACCACACAGCUUCACCAGAGCCCUAUUUGACAGACCCAGUCUGUAUCUUUCACUCCAUAUAUAUUUCAUUCUAUAUCUUUCAUUGUGUCAAGAAUAAA